rnacentral:tRNA from 1 species
GCACUGCUGCUUCAGUGGUAAAAUUCUUGCCUGCCCUGUAAGAGGCCCAGGUUUGAUGCCUGGGCAAUGCA